UUUGACAGUGAGCCCGUGGAGUAGUGGGUUAGUUUGCUGUCAUAAGCCGUCAUGGAUUCAAUAUCGGCUGGUUCGACUCCGCCAGUGGACAGGAUCUGGAUCAUCAGAAGACACGUUUGUCAGUGGAUCCUCCUUUAGAGAUGGGAUGGUGUGCAUCUGUGCAAGGUGAAAUCCUGAGGAGCAGCAACACCAGCAGAUGGCGCCAGAGAGUGUGAUGUGAGAAGACUGGUGCUCAAUCCGCAAAGGAACCAAUGCCUGAUACAAGAUGUUAAUUUCCCUUAUAUUUUCAUUUGUUGAUGUAACAUAAACGUUAUGAUGUGCAUAAAUGUCACCAAGAUCUUCCAGAUACAGAACUCAAAGCUAGCUGUAAUUGACACAAAGUCUUGGACAUAAUAAAUACAAGACUCUUCUUCCCUGACUUCAACAUUUAUCUGAGCAAAAUGUUAGGAACAAGUUUUAAGAAAUCUUCAGUGAAAGAAACUCUCUGAGGCAGCAAGUUGGUUUUAGUGAGUUUAUUCUCUGACUGUGGCAGGAAAGGAUUGUUUGCUACAAUAUGUUUGCUAUUUCUUCCAAAAUCAUACCAUUAUUUUAAGCAAAGAGACAAUAAAUCAUAAGAAGCAUAUCCAAAACCACAAUAAGAUUUAAACCAGCACACUGCAGAUUGUUAUAUUUGACAGCAAACUGAAACACAGCUUAUGUUAUGAAUAAAUUAUUAUUCCAUUCUUUUUAUGUGGAAACAAUCUUUUUACACUGAUCAUUUCCACAGCUACAUUAUUUUGACAUCUCAUUCUAAUUAAUGCUUUGCCAGGAGUUUGUAUGUAGGCACAAUUAGGAAAUUUACUGCCCAAAUUGAAAUCACAAAAAACAAUAUUAAACAUAUUGGAACUUUGUUUUUCCCCAUCGGCUCCUUCACAGACAGCAUUGACUGUUUUGGCAUUACUCCGAACAAAAAUAGCUGAACCAGAGCAUUUGUUCCCUGCUUCUUGAGUGGUGCGUUCCUUCAUCAAUGGAUGACAAUGUGGACUAUUGUGCAGGGUGAUCUUGCUGCCAGCGUCAGUGAGCUCAGUGGCAGAGAGCAGCACCAGCAGGAAACAGGCAAUCUGGAUCUUCAUGAUUCGCUGGUGAAGGAAAAAAACAAUAAAAUGGUUCUGAUGGAGAAUUCAGAGUGGUACAUGUGAUAGCUUUGCAGUGGCUUUUAAAGCAUUGUUGAUUGUCUUUGCUGUAAAUACAGACUCAAAUUAACUUUAAUUAUUUAAAUGCCAAAAGUCGUAUGUAAACGUUUCAAUGUUGAUGUGUCAAAAUCUGAUAUUUUGCUAUCAAUAAUUCCUGGCAGCAAAUAACAACUUGUAGAUCUGCAACGAUUUGUCGAUGAACAAAUUGUCAAGUAUUAAAUGACAAUUAUUUUGAUAACUUUUUGGGUAACUUUUUGAGGGGAAAAAAGCAGUCCAAAUUCUCUUAAUCCAGCUUCUUAAAUGUGAAUAUUUUAUGGUUUAUUUAGUCUAUGACAUUUUAUAGAAUCAAUGAAUUGAUUAAUCAAGAAAAUAAUCAUUACUUGCAGCCAUAAUAAUUUGCUCUUACUGGCCACAUUCAUGAUGCAUACCUGACUUUUUCAAAUAAGUUUCCUCACCUUAUUUUUUGCUUGGCUGAUAGUUGUUUGUUUGGUUCACUCACUGUUUGUGUUUUAUAAUGUAUAAGAGUUUUUGAAUUUGAAGCUGAUCUUAGGGGCCACCAUGCUUCAAGACUACUUGAGAAAUUACAGAAAGAAGCCAGUUAGUAACUGGAUGAGUAACUGGUGCAUCAGUCACAAUAUGCAUGAGGAAAUAUUAAACAAUGAGGAUGUACACGUGUGUCAAAAAGGGGAAAGAAAAGAAGAACAUUGCUGAAGUGCUGAAAAGACAUUUCCAGUUGUAUUAUGUUUUGUUUCUUGAAUUAACAUCAUAUAAGAUAUCAUCAUUUUAUAAAUGUUCUUAUAUGUAACAACAACAUUGUCAACAGCAGGGACAUUUCAGUAAAUUACAGUAAUAGUCUGUUUAAAUAUAUGUAGGUUUUUUAACACAGUACAGUUGUGCACUUUUACAUUAAAAGAUAUUACAACAGAAAUACAAUUGUUACAAGACAUGUCUGUUAAAUAAAAGUAUGCAGCCAGUGUGA